CUUGUGCGGCUCGCUCUCCGCAGACUCUCACUUUUGCAGUGCAAAGAGGUUGCUUCGUUUAGACUGUCCAAACUCUUCUGGGAUAAGAAGAAGCAAACCCGGAAUUGCUUUCUUCAUCCUAUUACUUUGGUCAAGUUAUAAGAACAUG